rnacentral:lncRNA from 1 species
CUUAGAUGCUGCUGGGGAGGCUUUUGUAUGUGAGAGGUCCUGCUCUGUGUUCUCCAAAGGAGCUUUUCCUUCUGCCUGCUUUGUCCUGGAAGACCUGCCUGUGAAUGAGGAAAAAGACUGAGGGAAAAGGACUGCAGAGGAUUUGAGGCAAAUCACAUGGCAGUGUGUCUCUGGUGCAGGAUGUAUAAACACAUGAGGGUUUCGCCUGACCUCACAAAUGCAAUGAGACAACCGCAGUUUUGGAGCAGACAAACUCAGUGACAAACCGAAGCAAGACCUCAAUUUGAUGGGAGAGAGCGGGAUGGUGAGAGCAGUCCUUAAACAUUUAUUACACUGCUUCCCUGCAGAUGUACAAUUUCCCAUGUUUUUUCAUGCACUUUGCAGCAUGUCCUGGUGAGCACCACCUAUCCGGACUCUUUUUUAGUGGACUGAUGGAGGGUGAGGCUGCAGGCGGUGACUGCCAGGUCUUGUCUGGCCCCCAUGCCUGCUCCAUGCACUGCUGCCACCAUGUCCUGCAAACCCCUGUGGUCCUGGGAAUUGGAGGUUUCCAUGACAGACCUGGAAUGGAGGAGAUAUUGCCUUUUGGAGGCGAGGGAACAGGGCUGAGAAAAAGGAGAAAGAAAGCAGCACAGAAAAGGAGCAGGAAAAUUACAGAUGCAGAACUAUGGGCUUCAAACACCAGUACCACACCAGCAGCAUGGAUCCUGGUGCUUCAGGGCAGGAGCAACAGAGAAAAGGAGGCUGAAGGGAGGAACAAGGGGAUAGGCCAUGGCAUUGGAGAUCCAAGGAGAGCAACAGAUUAUCUGAUAUCAGUACCCUGUGGUUAAUGUGCAACAACAUGUAUUUCACAUUAAAACACUAUAAAAUAUUUGUAGGUGUGUUUGCGCCUUUCUUUAGGGUGUGACUCUCCCUCCCUUAAGGAGAAGAGUCCUUGGGGCUGCCAGGUAUUUAACAUGUGGGAUAGGUGCAUAAAAUCCAUUUAACUUGUUAGUGAAUCAGUGGCACUUCCCUCAGUGAUGGUGUGAUGUGCAAGACCUCCAACUUCAGAAGUAUUCUGUCUCUGUGCAUUGAUGUGCAUUUUCCCUCUGUUGCUUGUAGCCUGGAUAAACCCCAUCCUCUUUAAUAAA